AGGCAGCAGUGGGGAAUAUUGGGCAAUGGUCGAGAGACUGACCCAGCCAUGCCGCGUGCAGGAUGAAGGCUUUCUGAGUCGUAAACUGCUUUUACCAGGGAAGAAAAAAGGGGAUGCGUCCUCUACUGACGGUACCUGGUGAAUAAGCACCGGCUAACUCCGUGCCAGCAGCCGCGGUAAUACGGAGGGUGCAAGCGUUGUCCGGAUUUAUUGGGUUUAAAGGGUGCGUAGGCGGCUUUUUAAGUCUGGGGUGAAAGCCCGUUGCUCAACAACGGAACUGCCCUGGAAACUGGAGAGCUUGAGUACAGACGAGGGUGGCGGAAUGGAUACUGUAGCGGUGAAAUGCAUAGAUAGUAUCCAGAACCCCGAUUGCGAAGGCAGUUGCCUAGACUGUAACUGACGCUGAGGCACGAAAGCGUGGGGAGCGAACAGGAUUAGAUACCCUGGUAGUCCACGCCGUAAACGAUGGAUACUCGCUGGUGGCGACAGACUGUCACUGGCUUAGCGAAAGCGUUAAGUAUCCCACCUGGGGAGCACGCUCGCAAGAGUGAAACUCAAAAGAAUUGACGG
rnacentral:rRNA from 1 species